GAGGGUAUAGCUUAGUGGUAGAGCACAUGUUUAGCAUGCAGGAGGUCCCAGGUUCAAUCCCCAGUAUCUCCA
rnacentral:tRNA from 1 species